rnacentral:rRNA from 1 species
AUUGAACGCUGGCGGCAUGCCUUACACAUGCAAGUCGAGCGCGAAAGGGGGCGAACCCCGACGUAGAGCGGCGGACGGGUGAGUAACGCAUCGGAACGUGCCCAGUAGUGGGGGACGAACCUCGAGAAAUCGAGGCUAAUACCGCAUACGACCCGCGGGUGAAAGCGGGGGACCGCAAGGCCUCGCGCUAUUGGAGCGGCCGAUGUCCGAUUAGCUAGUUGGCGGGGUAAGAGCCCACCAAGGCGACGAUCGGUAGCUGGUCUGAGAGGACGACCAGCCACACUGGGACUGAGACACGGCCCAGACUCCUACGGGAGGCAGC